CCCUUAGAUGUCCUGGGCCGCACGCGCGCUACAAUGACUCACUCAGAAAGUUUUUCCUGAUCCGGAAGGAUUCGGGUAAUCUUCAUAGCAUGAGUCGUGUUAGGGAUCGAUCUUUGCAAUUAUAGAUCUUGAACGAGGAAUGCCUAGUAAGUGCAGCUCAUCAGGCUGUACUGAUUACGUCCCUGCCCUUUGUACCCACCGCCCGUCGCUCCUACCGAUUGAGUGGUCCGGUGAACCUUCUGGAUUAAGCAGCAAUGCUUGAGAAGUUAGGUAAACCUUAUCACUUAGAGGAAGGAGAAGUCGUAACA
rnacentral:rRNA from 1 species